rnacentral:rRNA from 1 species
UACGUAGGGGGCAAGCGUUGUCCGGAUUUAUUGGGCGUAAAGAGCGUGUAGGCGGUCUGGUAGGUCCGUUGUGAAAACUCGAGGCUCAACCUCGAGACGCCGAUGGAAACCGCAUGGCUAGAGUCCGGAAGAGGAGAGUGGAAUUCCUGGUGUAGCGGUGAAAUGCGCAGAUAUCAGGAAGAACACCCGUGGCUAAGGCGGCUCUCUAGUACGGUACUGACGCUGAGACGCGAAAGCGUGGGGAGCGAACAGG